rnacentral:tRNA from 1 species
UCCCAGGUGGCUCAGUGGGUAAAGAACCUGCCUGCAAUGCAGGAGAGGCAGGAGACUUGGUUGGGUUCGAUCCCCAGGUUGGGAA